rnacentral:rRNA from 1 species
AUACGUAGGUGGCGAGCGUUGUCCGGAAUUACUGGGCGCAAAGGGUGCGUAGGCGGAUAAUCAAGUCAGAUGUGAAAGUCCAUGGCUUAACUGUGGGAGUGCAUUUGAGACUGAAGAUCUAGAGUGCAGGAGAGGGAAACGGAAUUCCUAGUGUAGCGGUGAAAUGCGUAGAUAUUAGGAAGAACACCAGUGGCGAAGGCGGCUUUCUGGACUGUAACUGACGCUGGAGCACGAAAGCGUGGGGAGCAAACAGGAUUAGAUACCCUGGUAGUCCACGCCGUAAACGAUGAGUAUUAGGUGUAGGGGACGAUAGUCUUCUGUGCCGGAGCAAACGCAAUAAAUACUCCGCCUGGGGAGUACGGUCACAAGACUAAA